GAUGAACGCUAGCGGCAGGCCUAAUACAUGCAAGUUGAGGGAGAAUGUUGGAUUCGUCUGACAUGAAACCGGCGCACGGGUGCGUAACACGUAUGCAACCUACCUUUAACUGGGGUAUAGCUCAGAGAAAUCUGAAUUAAUCCCCCAUAAGACUACGACAUGGCAUCAUGAUGUAGUUAAAGCUCCGGCGGUUAAGGAUGGGCAUGCGGUACAUUAGCUAGUUGGUGAGGUAAUGGCUCACAAAGGCUACGAUGUAUAGGGGGUCUGAGAGGAGGAACCCCACACUGGUACUGAGACACGGACCAGACUCCUACGGGAGGCAGCAGUAGGGAAUAUUGGUCAAUGGACGCAAGUCUGAACCAGCCAUGCCGCGUGAAGGAUGAAGGCCCUAUGGGUCGUAAACUUCUUUUAUUAGGGAAGAAAAAACGGGAUGCGUCCUGUACUGACGGUACUUAAUGAAUAAGGAUCGGCUAACUUCGUGCCAGCAGCCGCGGUAA
rnacentral:rRNA from 1 species